CAUCACCUCUGCUACCUCAAACCGGAACAUUUGACUCUGAUCAGACUGCGUCUAUUCUUGAACCGGUUUGACGGUCAGUAAAAGUUGGGCCGUACAUCAGUAUUCGGCCCAGUUAUGUUCAAACCCAAUGAGUUCUUCGGUGGUUCAUCUGUUUGUUGAUUUCCGGCGAUUGUGAGACAUCUUCGUGGAGAGGAAAAGGAACAAGAAAAGGCUUACUCAGUUGGUCUAUUGAAGAAGCAGCAUACAAAAACAGAGUCCAAGUUCUUAGUAUGUCUCCAAACUUGUCACCAGGGUUUUACAGAUCGAAGUUGCAACCGCAGGCUUCAACAGGUACUGUUAUUCACAAUCAACUUGUGGAAAUUCAAAGAUCAUGGCAUGGCAUGUAAGUGGAGAAAUAUCUACGGCGAUACCGAUGAAGUGAAUCGUGUACAGAAGGAUAUCCGACGCCGGUUUGCUCUCGAUUUCUCUUGCUAAGGAAGGAGCAAUCGUCUCUCUGCUUCCGAUAUCUCUGCUGCUAUAGUUGCCGAAGCUGAGAUGAAGGAUAGCUACUAUGUCAAUAGCUACAGCUACUAUUAGUCUACCGAGUUGUUUCUGCUCCAAAAAUGUUCUGUUGCUAUUGUAAUUGGGAACUUGUAUGUGUGUAACUAUGAUACAAGAUAUGGCAUCAAGUAUCAUCGUAAGAAGCAUCGUGGUCGAGAAGCUUCUUAAUCGUUUUCUAAUUAUUUCCUUUUAUUUACAUUAAGAGUUUUAGGAUCUUUUCCUUAUUUCAAUAAUGCAUAAG